UCAUUGUCAACGCUCAAGCCACACUAUAAAGUAUUAUCAACAAAAGGUAANUAUGAUCGAUCGAGAUUUUCAGUGUCGCUAUGCAGGUUAAGACCAUGGCUUUGACUUCGUAUAUACAGAGUUUCUGAUAUCAAUCUUUUAACAUGUAACAUUCUUCUAGUCUGUCCAACGUAUGAAGCAUCACAGUUCAAACAAUUGAUUUUAUACACUACGGAAGGUCUUUUGGAUAUUGGAANAGGAUCUUUUAAAACUUUAAUGAAUCUGGACAAUUUGUCAAUGCUAUAAAAGGAAAAAAAAUUAAGUCUAUCAUAGCCAAUCUCCAUGGUAAAUUGCAAUCGUGGGUGAUAAGAAUUAUAUAUCUCCAAAACAUUAUCAAAUUGUUGUGAUGGAACCAUGAGGGCUAUGUCAUCUACAUAUCUAACAUGUAGAGGUGGGAUAAAAGAUAAAGAAUUAAUAGUAAACGUUUCUAGAUCCUGCAUGACUAUAUCUGCUAGAAUCGGUGAGAGAGGAGAUCCCAUAGGGGCGCCGAAUGUAAGGAGGUACUGAGCUUUAUCAAUUGCCAUCUCUUUUCAAGACCNUUGAUAACGAGAUCCAGAGGAAUGUUAGUGAAUAAUGAUAUGACAUCAAGAGAUAUCAAAUCAAAUGAUUGGUCAAAAGUUACCCUGGAGACACGGCUAGCAAGAUGAAAACUAUUGAGAACAAAUGUAGGUGGAGAAACAAAAUUUUUUGAAAUAAUUUUGUGUAAAAAUAUUGCCAAAUUGUGCAGAGGACUGUU